rnacentral:lncRNA from 1 species
CCAAGAUUGAAAAUCUCUCUGAGGUGCUUGGUUGAAGGCUUCAACCAAGAACAUCCAGCAUCCAGAUAAAAAUAGAUAAGGAGAGACCAAAUGACCUCUUGAAGCAUGAAUUUAAGAAUGCUAUUCACUGCUACAACCUAUCAUUUGCUUUCCAUUUUCAUAAGAUUUUUCUGUAUUCAGACUCCAACUACCUAAAGGGUUUCUAUUCACUCCUCCAAAGUUUUCUCUAUAUAAUUGAAAUUAUUGCUGAGAAAAGCCAUGAUCAGACCACUCAUAUUGAUACUGACAAUCCCCCCAAAAGAAAAAGGCUGUGUUUAGCCCAGUGGACUCUAAACAGUGGCUCUCAAAGUGUGGUACCUGGACCAGAGCAUGAGCAUCACUUGGGAACUUGUUUGAAAUGAAUAUCGUCGACCCUCCAAAUGGGAAACUCUGGGAGUGGGCCCAAGCGAACCAGUCAUCUGUGUUUUAGCAAGUCCUCCAGGUGUCUGAUACACACUCGAGUUUGAGACUCUCUGCUCUAAACCAUCUCUUCUUGCGGGACCAGUGGCAAGUACCAUGACUGAGGAGAUGUUACAGACACACGAUGGCUCUAUCUAUCUCCACUGGAUAGUUUGAGCUACCUUAGACUCAUCCUACCUUGGGCUCCACAGAACAACUCUUAAAGCCAAGCAGCAGACCUAAGAAGUAAUCUGUCUUCCACGUCAGAACGUAGUCAGAUUGAAGUGUAGGACAUAGAGAUGAUGGUACAUUAACAUAUCAAGCCCCAGCACUGGCAGUGAGGGUGCAUGAGAAGUCUUCUUGGUGUGCAUCAUCUUUGAUUCAUCCAAGAACAUUUGAGUAGCAGUAACUGGUUAGACAAACGUAAGGAGAGUAGACAUUCACCUCUGUGGGGAGAAAAAGGAAUGUGACCUAUGCUCCUGGAAAAGGUUGAUCCUUCCAAUCUAUUUGGUAACAAGAGAAACUGCUGGAGAGUAAGUGGCACAUUUGCAUAGGGGCUG